AAAAACCCAAGAAAACACGAAGGACGACGCUCCAACUGCCGCCAUUGAACCGGAGAGAAGCACGAGUCUGCGCAUUAGUGCCAGGGGUGAAACUCCCGGAAGUCCCGCCCACGUCGAUGCAUCCGCCAUAUUGUCCACACUGACAACCCGCUGGCGCAGAGAGCGGAAGCCCCGCCCACACAGCAUCAGCUUGACGUCAUUGCGUCCACCAUCUUCGUAGGGAUUUGACGGCCAUUUAAGACAUUUGGGUGCCACUGUAUAGCUGACCCACAGGACUACAGAUAAAAACUAGGCUUUGGCAAGUUCUGGCGUGUUCCAGGUGUACUGUUAUAAACAUGCACUGUCCUGGUUAAUACAUAAAUUAAAAAUAGAUUAAUAAAACAUUUUGUUGACUGAGUGUGCAGUAAUGAGAAAUAAGGGUACAGUGCAGAGUUUAAUUAAUCAGCUUGUUUAUUUUUGUUGUUGAUUAGUCCAACUAUCUAACAUCACAGAAUGGCAGAGUAGACGUGGAUGCUCCGGAUAUAAGAACCAAUGAAAGGUGGCGUCCUUAUUUACCGAGGAAAAUAAAAGUUAAUCAUUUCUAAUAUGUAAAAGGUGGAUAUGUUUAGCGGGAACGUCCUCUGUGAGGUGAAAAGACAAAGAUGUAGUUCUAUAAAGUGACCACAAGAUGGCAGUGCUUAGUCAUGAACCCUGAUGCAUUCGUCUGCAGACCAGUCACUGGUGUUUGUUCAACAAGAGCGAUCAACACCGAGAUGAAUUUAAAUUUAAAAGGCUCUUUCAGCUGGAGAUGAACUUUCUGCAGACAUUUAUUCAGGGUUUUUAAAUCCACAUUAUCUUCAUCUUGUUUGCAGGAAGAUGCUGCAUAUCUUCUAUAAGUCUGUUGUGGAAAGUCUGAUCUCUUCUACCAUCAUCUGCUGGGGAAGCAGCAUCAGAACCAGGGACUUAAAAAAGCUCAACAAGCUGAUAAAGAAGGCUGGC